ACCCAUCCCGGGAGGAAGGGACCAGAGCUAAGGGGGCCGAGGAGGGAGGGGGAAAGCACUUGCCAACAUUGGAGAGAUGGGAGGUCCCGAGAGGGUAGCUUUGCCAUGCUCACGGCUCCCCACAAGCAGGAGCAUAGACCGGAAGAACUACAAAGACACAGUUGAGGCACGGCGGACAUCUGCUAGGGAGCCGCUCCAACACGUGGGAGUCCUCACCAACCAGCUGAUCAGCCAGAGGCCAGCUUGCCUUCAUCCCUGAGAAAAUGCUCCUGCCAAAUAAGGGCCAACUGCUUCCCUCCGGCCGUUAAGCCCAACCCUUGGCCACGCCCCUCACAUCAGCUCCUCCAAUCAGAGGCCGGCAGCUCACUGUCCAUUCUGGACUUCUAGAAGGCUCCGGAGACUCGGCAUUAUCUCUUCCCUGGGCCCUGGGAAACAAACGUCUUCCCAGAAAGCUGACAUGUGAGGCCAAAAAAGGAAUAGAAGCCUUGCAAAGUCCCGGGGGGGGGGGGAGUGCAUUCACAAAGCCAUGCUCCCUGAGGUCACCCUGAAGUUGGGGACACUGCUGCGAGACCGCCUGUCCCUGUGCUGGCACUGACCGAAAGGCACAGGCCUUUCACUGGCAGGUGUGCCCGGACAAGCCUGCCAUCCCCUCGCACACCGUCAGCUCCCGCUUCCUCCUGCCCCAGCUGUAGUGGCUGGAAGACCCCUCUGCCAGAGGCUUAGCCAAUGGGAGACGGCUGCCGAGUAGAGGGGUGUGUCUUUGGCCCAGGAGAAGUAUCAGAAACUGCAUCUUGCUGGUUUAGGAAAAUUGUGUCCACAAAGGUUCAAAUGCACCACUGCAUCCAAGCUUCAUUAUUUCUUUUAAAAAAAUAACUCACAUUCAGUGGCUUUUCAGUGUUCAGAUUGUUCUAUCCUCAGCAUUGAUUACAGAAUUUUCCAUUAUCCUCAAACGAAACCCUGUUCACAUCAAGUAUCCAGACUUCCUUUUCACCCAGCUUCUAGUAACUUCUAAAUGGUUUUCAGUUUGAAAACCAUUUCCUUUUCUUUUUGUGGACGUGCCCAGGUAACCUUUGGCUGCUGACUUCUUUCCCCCAGCAUGUUCCAAAGAUUAUGCCAGUGUUCACUCCAAGACUAAGCAAUAUGUAUUUAUGUAUCCCUUCAUGAGCCCUUGAGGUUUUCAUUUCCCUGACGUGUAUUUUUGUUUGUAUACAGUCUCAGAUGUUUUGGAUACUGUAUUGGUUAGUUUUCUGUUGCUGUCAUAAACACCAUGACCAAGGCAACUUACAGAAGAAAGAGUUUAUUUGGCCUUACAGUUCCAGGGUGAUGAGUCCAGCCGGCAGCGGCAGGAAGCUGAGGGCUCCUCAAACGGCACAAAGCACAGAAAUUGAACUGGAAGUUGCUCGGGGUUUUAACUCUCAAAGUCUACCCCAGCAAGGUCACACAAGCUUCCUAAAAGCGUUUUAAGUGCCUGAACCCACAGGAAACACUCUCAUUCACAUCACUGCAGACACACACCGAGGAGUGGUAAUUCCAUCUUAUCUCCAGGACCUGUCCAAAUGCAUUCCAUGCGGGCUUUCCCAUUUUGACACCCCCCCCCAGGCCUGUCUAAAGCUUCCAGCAUCCCCAAGUCCCUAUGGAACAUUCUUUCUUUUCUCUUUUUAAUUAUAGCUAUCCAAGUGUGUGUGCAAUGGCCUCUAGUUACGGUUUUGAUCUGUGCCUCUUUGAUGAUUAAAGACUCUGAACAUUUUUCCACGUGUCUAUUAGAGACAUCUACGAUUAUCUUUUUUUUUUUCAGGGGAUGGCUACUUGGGUACUUUGUGCGUUAAAAAAUAGAAUGUGUUUUUGUCAUUGAAUCUUAGAAUAUUUUGAAUAUUCCAAAGUAGAUCUAGCAUAGUCUCUUCAUAACAAGAAAACACUUUAGUCAUUUUUCUCUUUAAUUUUUGUCACAUUUUUCUUAGUUCCUCCUUGUCUUCCUUAUUUUCACUUUACUGGAUAUUUCCUAACAUGUUGUUUCAUUGCUGCUAUUUUAAUGCUAUUUUAUUAUUGUUUGCCCUGAAGAAUACAAGUGGCAUCAUAAUUUAUAACAAUCUAGUCAUAAUGAGCUUCAGAGUAUCACAAGCCAUGAUCCACAUGACUCCAUUUCCCUGUGACAGUGCCACAAACACAUUUCCAUGCAUUGUGCACCCAUCAACAUAGCUUCACGAUUACUAGCCUUAAGAAGUUGUCUCUAAUGCAUCAGAAAAGGGAGUUACAAACAAAACACGCUGUUUGUAUGGAGCAUUGUAGUUGGCUUUGCCUGUGUGUCUGCUUUCUUCAUGGGGACGUCUGCUACCAUCUUGUCCCUUCACAUCAAAUUGGAGGUCUCCUUUCAGCAUUUCCUGUAGAGAAUUAUCCAUGACAAAUUCUUCUAUCCUUUUAUCUUAAACUGGGGAAUAUCUUAAUUUCCCCCUCAUAUUUCAAUGACAGUUUUACGAGAUAUAUAAGUUUUGGUUAACAACCUCCCCCACUCCAUUUAGCACCUUGAAUAUAUGAAUCCACUGUGCUGUGGUUUGCAUAGCUCCUAGUGAGAAACCAGCUCUUAAUCUCACAGAAGUUCCUUCGUACAUGGCAAUUCGCUCCUGCCUUGCUAUUAUCAAGGCUGUCUUUGGACUUCAUCAUUUGGGUAUAACAAAUCUUUCCAUAGAUAUCUUUGAGUUUAUUAUUUAUUUGUUGUUCCUUUGAAUAUAGAUCCAUGUCUUCAUUAAAUUUUGGAAGCCUGGAGAUAUUCCUUUGAAUACUCCUUUUAUCCUUUUCUCUCCCUCCUUUUCUUCUGGGGUUUUCCUUCUGCAUAUGUGCCUAGACAUACUCCAGACUGUCCCACAGGUCUCUUAGCUCCACUAGGUUUUCCUCAUUUUUUUCAAUUCUCUUUUCCAGUCUAUGGAAUCUCAGUUGGCUUAUCUUCACAGACAACCUUUUUCUUUUUAUCCACUCAAAUUUCUUGAGUGAGAUUUCCUUCUUUGUAAGGACAUAUUUCAACUGCAGAACUUCUGAUUGUUUCCUUUUAAAUAAUUUCUAUGUCUUCAUUGUGUGUGUGUUUGUAUUUAUUACUGUUUCUGUAGUCUCAUAGUUUGCUUUAAUGCCAUAUAUAGGGACUUGUUUAUAAUUUGGGUCUAUUUGAAAUAGUUAAUUUAAGCUCUCAGUAUCUGGAUUCCUUUAGAGUUUAUUUAUUUUCAUUGCUUUUUUGCCCCAAUUUGAGGGUCAUAUUUUCUUAAUUUUUUCAUAUCUCAUAACUUUUUGCUGAAAACUGGAUAUUUUGAAUGUUUUAAUGGCUCAAUUUGGAAAUCAGCACCCUAGGGAGUCAGGGAAGCUAAGUAAAUAGUUACUUCCCUGGAAUGCCCAAUUGGUAUGGAGUCACAUGUAUCCACAGGUCCUCUGCAGAUGCAACACGCUUCUCUAACCACUGGGUCAGCUCUCCAGUCCCUGGAACAAGCAUUAUUUCUUGAAAUAAAUAAAUACAUUUAUGUA